rnacentral:lncRNA from 1 species
AAUUCAUUGUAAGACUUUAAAAACUUAGACACAGAUUGCGCGCGCGGGCACACACGGGUUCUCUCUCUCUCUCUCUGUCUCUGUCUCUGUCUGUCUCUCUCUGUCUCUCUCUCUGUCUGUCUCUCUCUCUGUCUCUCUCUGUCUGUCUCUCUCUCUGUCUCUCUCUCUCUCUCUCUCUCUCUCUCUCUCUCUCUCUCUCUCUCUCUCUCUCUCUCACACACACACACACACACCGAGCCACCAUCACAACCACGACCUCUACCACCACCACAAGAAGGACACUUUCCACCAGCUUUCAGUCCCCCUUUCCGGCAGGCUAUCUCCAUGUGCGCUGGAGGUCUGGUAAUUCUAAGGAAAGUUUGCUCCAGUCCACACUUCCUCGCUCUUCACUGCUUCCGGUUCCGUGGAUGCUUUCGUCCUUGCUGAACAGCAGUGUGUGUCUUUCAAGUCAUCCUGCAGGCC